UAAGCCCUUCCACAUCAUAAUAUUGUCUUUCAGCAAGAUGUACGGAACUAAAAUAAGACGUCUGUAUCCAUAUUCAAUAAACCACAUGUACAAGAAGGAAGGCAAAAAGACAAGGGGGAAGGAAGGAAGGAGUGUGGUAUUUGGGAGAUAAGAGAGGAGGAGAGAAUGCCAUAUGUUUUUCCUACUUAUUAAAAACACAUGCAUAGGAAAGGCAUUCCAUUUAUGCUUAAUUUUGGAAUAAAACCAAGCUUAUAAUUUUUAAUCACUGAGGCAGUGAGAAAAUAUUCUUAGUUGAUUUUAAAAUACAUUUUAGUAGGCAUUAAGAGUGCUUAUUAUCUGGCUCAUUUGAGUCAGUCACCCUAAGGGUUAGUGAAUUAAUCAUUCAUUUGAAGUCAUCAGCUAAUGAGUCAUCAAUAGCUCAAAGCUGUUAAGAAAUUAUUAUUUUAAAAAAUAAAAUCACUUUUUUCUAUACUCAGAUAUUUUCUAUGUUCAUUAGGUGUGUAUUUUUCCCUAAAGCAUUUCCAAAUUCCAAGUGUGUUACCUUGUGUUAUCAUUUACAAUGUUAAUAACCUGAAAAGUCAAAUUAACUUUCCAGCCAGUUAGUUGAACAGUUAAGGAAUUAUCUUUCAAAGACUCUUGCAUUUUAUGAGUCUGUUAUUAAAGUCUAUUACUGUUUUAAGGCCUGAAGAGGAUCAAAUAAAAUACAUAUGAGCAAAAAAUAUGAAGGACAUUUAGAAUCUGGAUCAAACUGAAUAUAGGAUAUAAUUAUUCCUUACUCUGUAACGUGCUCACUAUACUUUAAGUGAUAGGAAAAAUUUCUCUACUGAAGUAAUGUAAGUGAAAUAUAUUCUCUUUGGCAUGUGAAUACCACAUUCUGUUUUAUAUUGGUUACCAAGAUGUUUAGCAACUUAAGAAGGACAUUUAAUAUAAGCCAGUCUUUUCUUACUCAGGUUUCUUCUGGCAAUGACAUACACUAAGAAAUUCUGACACAAAAGUAUUGGAUGUUUAUGAAAUUCCACCAAAAGGGUCUAGUUCUAAAAAUAUUGCCUGCUCUCAAAUAUUUAAAUAUUUAAUAUUUAAUCUGUGGUUCAUUCAGGCCCUUCUCUUUCAACUUUUUAUUUAUUUACUUUUGUUAACCCAAUUUUAUAGCUGUGUUCUCUGGUUGGUAGGUUAAAAGAGAGGUAAAAUCAAGUGUUGACCAUUUUGCAAUGUAAUGGUGACACUGGCCAUGGGCUUCCAAUGGAAGAAAAGGGAGAAAAUGUGAAAAAGUCCAAUGGGCUGAGGAGGUAUAACUAAGUAUAUCUUUUAUAUGUGCUGUUUUCAGUCACCCCUUCUAUUGCCAUAGUCAAUCAAGAGUUGGCUCAUUGGUCAAAGGAGAUUACUGUCAAUCCAGAUAUGUCUCUGAAUUUGUAUACCAAAAAGUCCAGAAAAUUCUGAAAUUAAUUUUAACAUAUCAGGG
rnacentral:lncRNA from 10 species